GUACAUCAGUUAAGGUCUGGUUCUAGAACAUCCAGACUCACUUGUGUAUUCCAACUUCCACUCUGAAUCUGCAGGGGAGAUGUGACGUGAAAUGAAAUGAUUUGUGCUUGCAGGCAAACAGCAGUCUCCUCAGUUAUCAGAAAAGCAGUGAAGUCCCACACUGAGGGGAUCCCUGUACACAAAAGCAGAUAGUAAGUCUCUGCAGGAGACCCCAUGGCAGGUACCUCAGAAGUUGCUGGAAGACCCCUCUGUGAAGGGAUUAUGCCAGGAAAAGAUCCAGAAGCCUGCAAUCCUUACAUUUUUGGUAAAAGCAGCAAAUGUCUAUACAUUAUUGUUGAAUCUUCCUGCUCUUUAUCAAGUCCUCCAGCUACAAAUUUUCAGCAAUAGCAUCAAAAAUUAAAAGCUUACUGUGAAACCUAUGAAAACACAGUUCAGCUGGAACCACAAUGAACCUUUUCUGCUUCCCUUGGAUUCAUCUGAAUUUGGUGAGCUUAAGCACUGUUGAACAAUUUUCCAAGGGAAGUUGAACGAGAUUCUUCCAGUCAUUGCACAAAAUGUGGUAAGAAUCUGAGAGUUACUUAAACUAAGAAUAGAUAAUAGGAAAAUAAUAUAUCACAAUAGAUGAGAUGCAGGUUAGAGCAAAGGUAUCACAUGUAUUUUCUAUUAAGUUACUGAAAUACCAAAUUAUAAAAUUAAAAGAGGCCCCAAAUACUUCUCUUCUGACAUGUUAAACCUGCAAGUUAGAGUGUAAUUUGCUGAUAGGUAACGAGAUUCUUAAAAACCUCAAUAUUCUCAACCAGUAACUUCAUUGCUAUUUAUUCAUUCUGAAGAAAAAUAUAAAAUUCAGAAAAUGGUCUUUGCACAGAGAUGCUUACCAUAGUGUUAGUUGUAACAGAAAGAAAAACAAUUUAAAUUUCCCCAAAUAGGAAACAAUUGAGAUGAUGCUAAAUCUCACAUAAAUAUUGUAUAAACAUAUUAUGAAAAGUUAAAUGAGAAAAUAUUUCCAGAUAGAGAAAAAAAUACAAAAUUAUAUGCAAAAUUUAUGUAUAUUAAGUAUAUACACAAAAUCAUGUAUAAAUUGUCAUUUCAACUAUGUAAAAUAAUCAUUGAAAAAAGCCUAAGAAGAAAUAUAUAGUUGUACCAUAUAAAGUUGCCGAUUUUUACCUAUAGAAGAACUAUUUCACAUGGUUCAAUCUGAUACUAACACAUGAAUAUCUUUGGAAAGUGAUAAAAUUUCCGGUAAUAUUCCAUGAAUUUUUGUAAUUUCCCACUUUUGCAGAAACAUAUUCAAUUUGUAUAAUUAUAAAAAGAAUUUUUAAUAAAUAGUCUAAAGAAACAUUUAUAAUUUAGGCAAAUGUUUUAAAAUUAGAUUUUCAUUUUUGGCAAUAUUACAAAUUUGAUACCCCAAAAAGCUUUGCACUAAAAUACAAUCCAAGAUACUUUAUAAAGUGUUUGGAAGAACUUUUUAAUGCACGGCUGAGCUGGCAACAGAGUAAGGAAAUCUCCAGCAGCCAAACAUGAAGCAAAAGCAUAAAUCCUGUGAGAGAAGCCUAUGACUGCUCUCAGGGCAUCUACGGAUUUCUGGAGAUCCAGAGAUUAGGUUUUAAUGGCCUCAUAGCAGGCACAGAACAAAUUUUAGUGUCCAUAUAGUGAAGGAGUCAGAUUAAAGACCUCCAUGUGAAGCCAAGACCCUACCUAUCCAAAAGAGCCACAACUUCAGUGAACAGCAAACUAGAGGGAAAUCUUACUUUACAAGGGGAACUUACCUAUUUUAACUUCAGCUCCAGGUGGAGAGAAAAACAAAGUUGUAGAAACAAAAUAGUUUUAGGCUGGGCGUGGUGGCUCAUGCUUGUAAUCCCAGCACUUUGGGAGGCCGAGGUGGGUAGAUCACCUGAGGUCAGGAGUUCAAGACCAGCCUGGCCAACAUGGUGAAACCCCGUCUCUACUAAAAAUACAAAAAUUAGCCAGGCAUGGAGGGCACCUGUAAUCCCAGCUACUUGGGAGGCUGAGGCAGGAGAAUCGCUUGAAUCCGGGUGGUGGAGUUUGCAGUGAGCUGAGAUCGCACCACUGCACUUAAGCCUGGGCAACAGAGUGAGACUCUGUCUCAAUAAAUAAAAAAGAAAAA
ensembl:lncRNA novel transcript